AAGAAAAACGGGCAAGAAUUUUAAACCGAUGAUUUUGAAUGGAAGUUAAUUAGCCUCUGUCAGUCAUAUAACCAGCAUGUUUCGUGAAGUUCUGUAAUGGCUAACAGUGUAAGCAUUUGUUCUUGUUUAUGGGUGACCUCUACUACGCUAUAGCUCUUGUGCAUAAAGUCUGUAGCGGGGAUAUUCCCUGUAAUCAUAAAGUUAAUAUGUGUGCCAUCCUACUAGUAAUAAUAUUCGUAGUCAAAUUCCAACUGCAAUCUUUAUUCUCCUGUAGAUUCCUGCGUUCGUCAUCACAAAAUAAUUAAAAGGUUUAAAAGUGUGACGGUGCUAGACAUUUGAGAUAACUCAUCCAGCAAGAUUGGUAAAGCGAGUUAAUCAAGGGCGUUCCCUUAUAUCAAGGACGUAAUUUCCGCUAGAACACACCUCAGUGUCAAACGACAAACCACUAAUCUUGAAAUUGUCGUCUGAUAAGGUGAGAAAACACGCGAGAGGAAAUUACUGGCCAAAUCAGGAAAAGCGAAUAGAUUAGCGCAGAUUACGAGUCCCCAACAUGUAAAACGAAUAAUUUUUAUAUUAUCAGACGUGGCUGACCACAAAUGAGCGUACACGACGAAAUAAAGAACAAAAAAACUGAGGAAAUGUAAAUGAAAGUUGUCAUUGGCGACAUAACUCUUUGUGAUGCAAGGAUUGUUACUGGUAGAUAUGGAGCCAAGUUUUUUUAACUGUAAAAAAAAAAAACCCUUGGUACCUAGAGCUUCCUGAAGCAUGGACUUGAACUUGACAUUAGUAUAUCACCACAUAGGACACCCAGAGAUUCCGACUAAUGCGAUGAAAAAUUUAAUUAGUCGCAAUCUGAAACUUGCUGGUAUCAAUUUUAGUAUUAAAUCUCAAACGCUUACGGGUACACUGAGUUCCUUUCCGAGAAUUUAAUCCACUCCUAAGAAAACAGCAUGCACUAAAUGGCUGGAAAACGGAAAUCAGGAAUGAAAAUCGUCCUGAAAACCCUCUGGUGUUUCCUUGUUGGUUAUUUUUUUUUCUCUAGGGUCUUAGAGUUUUGCAAUUAUUUGCCAGAUUACAUCGACUUAAGUAUUUCAUAGCAUGCAGAGUUAUUUCAAAAACAGGUUUACUCAGCCCAUAAUCUCGCUACUGAUUUUAUUGAGCUGUAAUCACUAAUCAACAUACGGUGAUCGGUAUUUCUGAGGGUCAUAGUUAAAAAAUUUACCUUGACUUUUGAACUUCCCUAAGAACAGGCGUAAAUAAAAACAACAGAGCAUAGAAAGCUUCCAACACUUGCACGCCUGUUUCCCUCUCCGGAUAGAGACUUUUAAUCUACUUAAUUUAUUAACCACCCAUUUGUCGCAAUAGUUGUCGCAAUAUGUUCUAAAAGAGUUGAAACGGAAGUUAUGAAGGUAAUGUGCUGAUUUCUCAAAAACUCCCUGCAUUUGCACGCAGAUUGUUUUGCGACGAUAAGAGUUCAUAACCACGUCCCAAAACGGAACGAUUUUACUUUCUCUUUUGACGAGACAAUCCGCUUCUAUUUAUUUGGAGUUUACGUGAAUACUGAAGAUAACGCUAGAUUUUUUUUUUUUUUAGUUCGCGUGGCAUGGUAAUAUUAGGAGAGAUAAAUCCCUCAGUUAUGAAAUAUGAAUUGCUUCAAGGAUUUAACCAGAUUAUCAUUAAUUUUUCAGACGACUGGUGAAAUGAACCGUCGUCUGUCAGAAUAUUGAAUUCUCUGCUCGGUAAAUGCCAAGGCGAUUUACAGUAGAUACUUGGCGAUGAUUAGAUUAAGUAAAGGAAAUUAUGCGGUCCUCCUCGAAUCUCAUCUUACAGAGAUGAAUUUCACACCAGAUGCUUAUUGUCAAUAGCCAAUAAUGUUACCCAAGUGGUUUCAGCUUUAAGUAGUUUAUCAUUCCAGUGCGUCGUAAUUGCGUGUUUAAUUCCAUAAACCAGCGAGAUGUUUUUGUCAUCACUAAGGUUCGAGGGCUCACCAUGCACAUAACUCUAUAAAACUAGGGAAAAAACCCUUCGUAGAGGUUUUAAAUUGAGCUUGUUUCGUAAAAGCUUCUGUUCAAAGAUUUUUCUAUAGUUGCGUGUGUACAAAUCUAAGUAGACAAAGCUAAGUAGCUUUAAGUUCCUGGCUCAACCACUUACGUCAAAGGACGGUCGGAAUCAAUUAAGCCGGAAACGUUUACAUACUUCUGCCCUUUGCUUUUGCCGUCAGUUCCUCUUAGAUAAACUCACUCUAUUCAGCGUAGUCAUUCCAUAGUUUGAUUCCUUGGCUCAAAGGAGAUUCAUGUUUGGGAAUGUAUUUUUAAAAAACCACUUGCAAUUUUUGUUUGAGAUGAAAAAGGUGGAGAUAACAGAUAAAAAUCGCCAUUCCGAAAGCGGUUUUUAUUAUAUUAGAUGUUAUAAAAACAAAAAGCUUCCCGGCUCAGCUAAGAGGGUUACGGAAAUUUGCGACAAGCAAAUGCAGACAAAUAUUAUCCUGCCGGAAAGGUACAUGGCCAAGCUGGGAUGAAAUAGUACGAACAGGAAUAAAGCAUCAGUGUCAAAAAUCAUACUACUACUUAUUUAACCGCUUAAAUCGUGAAAACAAUAUGACCUGACUUAGAUUAUUGACACUCUACUUUUGCAAUCGCGAUCAUGUCGAAUAGCACACUCAUUUUAUCCCCGAUACGUUUACAUUAACCUCUCUUCGACUGUGUAAAGUUGCACUCUGUUUUUAUGAUUGCAUAACAUUGAAUGGAGCCGGAAAGGCGGCAUUUUACCGAACUGCUCUUAAAAUUUAGAUUUCCCUUUUAAAUAUUUCCAUAAAAGUGACUACGUGGAUGUUAUUUGUCCAUUAAUAUUGCCAUUGAUAGAUGUUUUUAUCAGCCAAUAAAACUGUGUGAUACACGCACGUACAUCGUACUUCGUUUCCGCAUUAAUUUUGGCCGAUAUUUUCUCGCUCUUCUCCGUUUCUCUUUUGUUCUCCAGUUUCAGGUUUUUUUCAACAUUAGAAAGUUGACUCAAUCUUUUUCUUUUCAUUCUGAGUCAGAAUGAAAACAUUCAUGACUUUCGACUUCACGACUUCCCCAUACGGUGUAUCCACAUCCCCAUGUGUCCCCCACGUGUCCCCUCCCACGCCCUUUCUCCGCCCUGUUCCCCGCCUCCGGGUUUGCUCUGCUUCGUGUUGUCAUUGGUUUAUGAAUUUCGCGCCACACUAUCAACCAAUCAAAUGCGACGCCUGGCUACCCACGUUUUCCCGCGCUUCAGGCUCUCAGCCUAAUUUUGAGUUGUGUUAUCUUCUUAUUGGAAGUAUUCAAUAAUUUAAUUUUGGUUUUUCAACUAUCAAUAGAAAUUUGCUUUGUAGAAAGCUGAUAUCAACUUUAAAUGUCUCUUUUAUAUCCAGUUUUCACACAUUCUUUUCGAAACCUAUUCCUCAAUAUAUAGGAAGUCUGCGUUUCGAUUUUUCUGUUUUACAGUGCUCGAUACAUAAAAGUAGAGCGCAGUAUAUGUUGAGUUAGAAAUAUACAACGACUACGCUUUCAUCCCUACAAAUCUGUUUCGUGAAAGCCACCCCAAUUUGAACAUAAAAGCAAAGCUUUGUAAUGCCUAAGAGCUAUAUCUAAGUGCAGACAGUACUGUUUCGGCCUGCUGGGCCUCA